CAAGUUUGAGCAGCCAACACUCGUAUUUGCACCCAUCUUUCCUCCAAAAUGUCAAAAAUUCUCAUCUUCUGUUGCAUUCUCUCCCUUCUCUUUGUCAUCAAUUUGGCCGAAGUGCCAAAUGCAGGAGGUUUUGGGGAUUCGAAAACUAGAAGAGUGAUUCUGGGAAAGAGAUCAAAUAAAGUAGUCUGUAUUAGAGAUUGCAGCAGACUGUAUCCAAACUCCACAGCCAAUUGUUUCAAGAUACGCUUUGGAAAAUGCCUCUGCUAUUGCUAUGUACCGGACAGCCCUUCUUCUCCUCACUAAUUUAUCCAUGUUAAUGUGUCUGAAUGAGGGCCUAUAUGUAACAUCACAGCUUUAAUAUAUAUCAGCAAUUCAAGGUUUAUUGGAUUAUAUUAUUGAAACA